CUCUGUGUACCUGAAGCUUCCUGGAGAGCAGUUGGUGCUGAACAGCAUGGAAAAUAGCUACUGGAAAUCAGAGCCCAUUGAAGUUUAAAGAUGUGACAAGCGGAAACAACCUGCACCUCCCUUCCUGACUUCUGCAAAGCAAGUUCCGAAGUACUGUGAGAAAGAUUGUGCUUCCAGUGAUAACACCAAUGACAUUUUCGAAGCUACAAAGCCAUUUGAGUAUACUUGUUACACAGAUCCAGAAGCUCCUUCUAUGUCAGGAGUAUAUCAGGAGUGGAGCCACACUUGAAUAAAAACAGUUGAUAUAUGCUUUCAGAUUUUUGAAUCUGUUUUAAGCACACAAGGAGAAAUUCAGCUGAUGUGUAGCAAGUUAACGGAGUUCUGCCAAGGUACAUUUACCUAAUACCCAGUACAAUAUUCUACUGCUUGUUAGGUCAUAAUUCAGCCCAUUAAACAACUUUGCACUAACUCAGUGAAAGUGCCUAGCUGACAACAAAUACUAAGAUAUGUAACUUUUGCAAAAAAAAAAGGGGUAUUUGUUUCUUAUAUGGUAUAAAGAAGUGAGAAAGAACUAAUAGGCAACAUGAAGGGAAAAAUAUAUCCAUUGCUUAAAAGCAUAAUUUAGAAAUAAAAUGAACAGAAUUUUGUGGAAUUCACCUCUGAGUUUUUGUUGUAUCAGAUAGCAGUCUAUCUUGUAGCUAUAUAUAGCUAGCAAUUUUUGUAUAGCACUCACUUAUAAAGGGCAACACAAUUCUUGGAACAAUGCUUUCUUGCCUAAGUGCUGUUAAAUGUUAGUGAUCUUUUCAGUAGUUUCAAAAUCAGAAGAUGUAAAAUUAAAAGCUACAGUCUCUGCUACUACUUACUCUUACUCUGCUACUACUUUUAGACCGAAUACUUUCAGUGUGUCAAGCCAUUAAUUUUCUCUGUUACUGUGCUUUUCAAUAGACAUCAUAUGAAGUCAGUAUUUGGAGAAAAUGUCAUUACCACCUGAACAAUUUCCGUUCUUUACAUAUUUAGUCUCUUCUAAUGCAGUAUAUACAUAACUUACACGUUAGUAAACAUGGCAGAUUUCUUACUUCUGAUGGUAGCCUAUUGGCUUAAAGGGAGAUCUAGUUUCUGGUAGACACUGUGCAAUGCCAACAAGAUGCGAUGGCAAGAUCUCUGCUUGCCCUGAUACCCUGGCAUGAAAGGUAUGUUUAGAUCCCAGAUUUGUUCCUCUGUUGAAAUAACUGAGGAAGCACUGGUAGAGUAAAGCAAAUCUACCUCUGCUUUACAGCUGUAUUUAUCUGUAAUUUAUACAGUUGUUUUCAUAAUGCUAUCAUAAUUUCAACAAAACACCUUUAGAAACGUCCAUACACAUGGUUGUACUGCUCAUUUUACUUGGCAGCAGUCAAGUGAGCAGAACAUCAGAUAUAGGCAGUUUCUAUAGUGUAAAGAAAUC